rnacentral:rRNA from 1 species
UGGGUAACCUGCCUCAUACAGGGGGAGUAACAGUUGGAAACGACUGCUAAUACCGCAUAAGCGCACAGGAUUGCAUGAUCCGGUGUGAAAAACUACCGGUGGUAUGAGAUGGACCCGCGUCUGAUUAGCCAGUUGGCAGGGUAACGGCCUACCAAAGCGACGAUCAGUAGCCGACCUGAGAGGGUGACCGGCCACAUUGGGACUGAGACACGGCCCAAACUCCUACGGGAGGCAGCAUG